rfam:Schistosoma curassoni strain Dakar, Senegal genome assembly, scaffold: SCTD_scaffold0003431
ACUCAGCUGACGAGUUCUUGAUGGGACGAAACACGUGUCCUGGAU